rnacentral:rRNA from 1 species
CUUAAUUUGACUCAACGCGGGGAAACUUACCGGGUCCAGCAUAGUAAGGAUUGACAGACUGAGAGCUCUUUCUUGAUUCUAUAGGUGGUCGAGGCGCUACAAUGUCAUAUAUUGACGUUUCUUUUCUCUAGGCGG